CGUGUGUACGAUGCUCCGCUGGCAAUUCGUACGAUCUGCGUCAUUGACCAAUGGCACGGACGAUACACUGCUGAAAACAAUUAGGGGAUCACGAUUCAGGAGAGUGAAUCGGGGAUUAAAGAAAUCUCGUGCGAUACGAUUGAUUGGCACUGUUUAUCAGGCAACAUUUUCAGAGUCGUUCGUCAACCAUUCCUUGAAAUCUGCGAUUGGAUCGCUGGUAUAGUUGGUGGAUAACGAUUCAUUUGAGUCUGAUGCAAGUGGUCCAUGAACACCAAACCAAGCUGGUCAAUUCGAUACAUAUAACACAGACAUCUUUGGUACCGGAAAUGUCUUUUUUUUUGGAAACCCUGACGCACUGAAACCACCAUAACGUCGACGUUUUCGAAAAUUUGUCAAUAAAAUUUUGAAAAGUCGUUGCUGGAAAUGUAUACUGUAAAACGAUAUUGGCAUUAACUCGGAUCUUCUUGUCAGUUCCUAUUCUUCGAGUAAAGCGGCAAUGACAGCUGGAUCGCCAAGUGUGUCAUUUUUAAUUACUUUACGAGACGCCCCCCUCCCCCAAAGAAGCUUCCGUAAACCGAUACUGAUAGUAUUUAAAGUAAUUAAUUAAUCAUCGACAAUGAAAUGUAAUAUUACUUAUUAUAGAAUCACAGAGCAACUUUGUUAAAAUAAUCUACAAUGUUUCGAUUGUUGCAUAUGAUCCUCUUAAUUAUUAGACUGCAGAUGUUUCUAUAAAUUUAGUAAAGUAUGUCUUAUCUUCUACACAGUUUAACACAUGAUUUAUUUUCCGUCUCUGUUAAAUUUCUUCUCUGUUAAAUAUCUUCUAAACAAUGUAAUUUUAUGUUUUUCCAUUCAUGCACAAUUUUCCAUGUAUUUUCUGACAAUUUCACUAGCCAUGAAUACAUAAGCAUCCCCAGUCUAAUAAUCACAGACAAUCCACAUGACUCGUUGAAGGAUACGAAGAAUUUCUUGGUUGCAUCCUACGACAUCGAAAUGAAGUUUAACACGUUGGUCUCCAGAAAUAGAUGACAGGACAUUUCAUUAAGGAACUAAAGAAAUUAAUUCCAAAAUUAAGGAUAAUGAAAAUAAAUUUGGAGAGGAUUUGUGAAUUAAAUAAGUUAAACAAUUAAAUACUACUACAACAAACGUUGAAUUAUCUAAUAUGCAGCAGUCUCGAUGGGAAAUUUUAAACUUGGAGAAAUUUUCACGAGUUUUUAGUUCGACAGCCAACGUGUUAAUCAACUAAUCUAGAAUCGAAUCGUUGAUCAUCGUAAUAGUAGAAAGAGUCGAAACCAAGAUGUUCUUACCCAACGUUUACAUGUCAACAAACGUGCUUUUUAAUGAAAAGUAUCGUUCACGAAUCGGAGCGAAGGACGAGCUUUUACGCUUUGCUCGAUGUCGUCGAGCCUGAUCUCGGUCAGAUGCGCGGCUUUAUUAAAAAUUCUUGCCUAUUGCCACCGGCGCAACAGCCAAGUCCGUCGAGAGCAUUGAAAGGAACUCACAAAUUACAUUAUUAGUACCCUCAGACACGCGUCACUGUCUAAUUCGGCACGGACGAGCGUAGACAAUAUCGUACGUCAUCGAGCGGUACCAUUUUCGUACCUUUCGCGAUAGUUUUCGUUCCAAAUAGAAAAUUCGAAGGGAGAACGCCGUGCCUUCGCUUCGCUAUUAAUUACUUCUCGUUUGAAAGCACAGAAUCGUCUUACGUUCGACGCAAGUACGCGCGUACUAUGUAAACUUGUAAAACUAAUUUAUACCGACUGUUUAUCAUUAUUCGCUAAUAAUCGAUUUAUAAUUCAUGACUUUCAUGCCGCCGAGCGAUGACGUUUGAGGCCAAUAUGCCGAUGCCUUUUGUCGAUAUUGCCCGUUUAUCAUUUUUAUUAUUCUUGUAACAUUUUGUUCAAAUUACUUGGUUUAAAUUAUAUCUAACUCGUUUAUUCGUCGUUUGUUAAAUGAAAAUUAGACUUUGAAUUCUAAAAUGAAAAUGUAUUUCGCAAUA